GUGGCUAUAGCACAGUGGUUAGUGCACCGGGUUGUGGUCCCGGUGACAUGGGUUCGAAUCCCAUUAGCCACCCCA
rnacentral:tRNA from 1 species